CUUGUUUUUCUUCUAGAUUCAUGAAAAGCUCUACUACUAUGAGAAGUAGAACCCCGUGCCCAUCCUCCACAGCACAGCAGUCUUGGCUGAUGAUGUCUGUAUGAGCUGUUGGCUGUUCUGCCAGUCCAGCUGGGGCCACCUGUGGACAGCUAGGAAGACCUGACCUUCCUCUGGGGUAUGUUUGGUGAGAAAAGCCUGCAUUCACUGGUAAAGGACUGCUCUCCACUUGGCCUGUGCCAUUGGCCGUGUAGAUGUGGUGAAGUACCUGCUCGCUUGGAAAUGCGAUGUCAACCUCCGUGAUGGAGAAAACAGGACAGCUCUAGUGAAGGCUGUCCAGUGCCAAGAAGAGGCAUGUGUAGAUAUUCUGCUCAAAAAAGGUGCUGAUCCAAAUGCUAAGGACUUCAAGGGAAACACCGCUCUCCAUUAUGCGGCCUUUGAGGGGAAUAUCUUAAUAGCACAGAAGCUGCUUUUUAACAAAGGAGAGAUAGAGGCCAAAAACAAGGAUGGCCUCACACCAGUUUUAGUUGCUCUAAAUGAAAACAAAGAGCAAAUGGUGAAAUUUUUAGUAGGAAAAGGAGCACGUCUACUUUCAGGGGAUACGGUUAAAAGCAGUGACCAACUAAUUUCUGAACAUGAAGAAGAAAUGAAACCUGAAAAUUCUUCACAGAAUCAUGAUCUAGUGGCUAAGAAGUCUGAAGAAGUCUCUUUAAGCAGGUAGGACUUUUAUGGAUUUUUUUAAAAUGAUGUGUUAACCAAGGAAGUGGAGAGGAAAGGAUUUGUUGAGUGUUGUCUUCUGGGCUAGACACUGUAUUAUGUGCUUAAUACGUCUUACUUAUUACUUAUUAGUCAUUGCAAUAGUUUCACCAAGGAGCUGUGCUGUUAUAGCCUACUUUUUUUUAACUAGUCAGCUGUAGUUCAGGGAGAUGGAUAAACUGACCCAGGAUUCCAUAGUUAAUGAGUAGCAGACCCAUGAUUUGAAUGUUAGCCUGCGUGGCUCCCACAUACAUGUUUUGCCCCUCAGCAGCACUGGAAUUAAGAUACAGAUCUUAGAUCAUCCCAGAAUGUCAAAUUUCAUUACAUGUUAACUCUGAUUUAGAGUUUUCUUAAGAACCAGGCAAGUCCAAGCAUUUUCCUAAUAUAUUUGACACAACUAGUGAUAGCUAGAGGUAAUUAUUGCAGUGGUAACUAGUUUCUUGUUUUUACUGUCAAAGAUUUUGGAGUGGAUCUCAGUUACCUAUGGCCACAGUACCAUAGCUUUUACAUAAGCAAGCCCUAAUCAGGCAAGCUCUUAGAUAUAGUGACGUCUGCUCUCCUUGAGAUGAAUGAUAUUUCUGAAAGUGAAGGAUAUGUAAUCUAGGUAUAGACCAUGUAACGUUAAUUAAAUUUAUCAUCUAUUUAGAGGGUAUUUCUAAACAGUUGUCUAUUUACUGACUUCUCAGUCUAAUUUUCCCUUUAGGCUGGCACCCUUGAUAAGUUCUGUGAAGCUUUUUCUUUUUUUGUAGACUUUUUUGCUUUUAUCCAUGUCCUUUCUAUACUCUUUUCUUGAUUUUUUUAAACUUUCUUCUCCAAUUUUCUUGCUGUUUCUUUUAUUCCAUUACUUUUUAUCAUUUCUGCAGCUAAGGAUUCUCCAUUUUUCUAAAGACAAAAUGAAAAGCAGAUAGAAUUUCAGGGUUUUAAAGAAUCUUAGAGAUGUGUUAAUCAAAAUACUCUCUGAUGCUGUAACCCAUGUUUAACAUCCUUACCAAGUGGUUGUUGAAGUGGAGAAUUUGAAACUCAAAAGGGAUUAAAGUGACUUACUUGAAUUUGAUAACUGACAGAAAUGAGAUUUAAAUUUAGAUUUUUUCCCUUUUCUCUCAUCUUUGAUUUAAUAAUAUAAAG